AGUGAACGCUGGCGGUAGGCCUAACACAUGCAAGUCGAACGGCAGCACAGUAAGAGCUCUCUCUUACGGGUGGCGAGUGACGGACGAGUGAGGCGUGCAUCACCUUCUACUUUUUCUUGGGGGACAACGUAGGGAAACUGCCGCUACUACCGCAUACGACCUACCGCUGGAAUCAGUGGUUCUUCGGACUUUUCCUGUUUCAUUGAGCCGGUUCCGGUUUACCUAGUUGGCUGGGUAAAGGCCCACCAAGGCAACGAUCCGUAGCUGGUCUGAGAGGAUGAUCAGCCACACUGGAACUGAGACACGGUCCAGACUCCUACGGGAGGCAGCAGUGGGGAAUAUUGGGCAAUGGGCGAAAGCCUGAUGCAGCAACACCGCGUGAGUGAAGAAGGCCUUCGGAUUGUAAAGCCCUGUUAUUGGGAAAGAAAAGCAGCAGGUGAAUCCACCGAUGUUCUGACGGUACCCAAAGAAUAAGCAACGGCUAACUUCGUG
rnacentral:rRNA from 1 species